rnacentral:rRNA from 1 species
UACGUAGGGGGCAAGCGUUGUCCGGAUUUAUUGGGCGUAAAGAGCUCGUAGGCGGCUUGUCGCGUCGUCUGUGAAAUCCCGCGGCUCAACCGCGGGUCUGCAGUCGAUACGGGCAGGCUAGAGUUCGGUAGGGGAGACUGGAAUUCCUGGUGUAGCGGUGAAAUGCGCAGAUAUCAGGAGGAACACCAACGGCGAAGGCAGCACUCUGGGCUGGUACUGACGCUGAGGAGCGAAAGCGUGGGGAGCAAACAGG